rnacentral:rRNA from 1 species
AUUGAACGCUGGCGGCAGGCCUAACACAUGCAAGUCGAGCGGAUGAAGGGAGCUUGCUCCUGGAUUCAGCGGCGGACGGGUGAGUAAUGCCUAGGAAUCUGCCUGGUAGUGGGGGAUAACGUCCGGAAACGGGCGCUAAUACCGCAUACGUCCUGAGGGAGAAAGUGGGGGAUCUUCGGACCUCACGCUAUCAGAUGAGCCUAGGUCGGAUUAGCUAGUUGGUGGGGUAAAGGCCUACCAAGGCGACGAUCCGUAACUGGUCUGAGAGGAUGAUCAGUCACACUGGAACUGAGAAACGGUCCAGACUCCUACGGGAGGCAGCAGUGGGGAAUAUUGGAAAAUGGGCGAAAGCCUGAUCCAGCCAUGCCGGGUGUGUGAAGAAGGUCUUCGGAUUGUAAAGCACUUUAAGUUGGGGGGAAGGGCAGUAAGUUAAUACCUUGCUGUUUUGACGUUACCAACAGAAUAAGCACCGGCUAACUUCGU